rnacentral:rRNA from 1 species
AGCGUAGGCGGUCUUGCAAGUCUGAAGUGAAAACCCUGGGCUCAACCCUGGGAUUGCUUUGGAAACUGUAGGACUGGAGUGUCGGAGGGGCAUGUGGAAUUCCUGGUGUAGCGGUGAAAUGCGUAGAUAUCAGGAGGAACACCAGUGGCGAAGGCGGCAUGCUGGACGAUAACUGACGCUGAUGCUGAAAGCGUGGGGGGCAAACA